GCCACGCCCCCCGUAAAAGUCCCGCCCCGGAAACCCAGUCAGGGGAUCCGCGCUGGGGCUCGGUGCCUUCCUCAGUCCGUCCCUCGCUCUCUGCGCGUUUGGCCGGCCCUCCCGCUCUGUCCCGAGGCCCCGCCGCGCGUCUUGCUGCACAGCAGUCUCGGCCCUGUUCUGAGGUCCGGAGCCCAGUUGUGUCAUAUCAAGGCAAAGGUCAUGAAGUCACGUCUCAGCUUUCUUCACUGCUUUAAAAAGUCAUCCAUUCACUAAGCU
rnacentral:lncRNA from 1 species